rnacentral:lncRNA from 1 species
CGCCCCCGAGGCCGCGGACGGGGAACCACUGUCCCACAGGGCUACCGCCUGGGGCAACCCGAGGCUGUCCUGGGGCGCUAGCGGGCUCCGGCCACCCCUCCCUUUCCUUCCCUCUGGGCCUCCAGUGCCUUCGGAUCAAAGUGGUCCGGGUAGCCCGGCCGGCCGUGGAUGCCUCAGGAGCUGCGUCCUGAUAGGGACCAGGCACCUCCGGAAUUCUCUCUCCAACAAAAGCUUACUUCAGGAGUUGAACAUAUACCCUGCUGAAGAGUAACUAAUUUAUAACCUGGCAGGAUCCACGAUUGCACCAGCCCCUCCACCAAAUAAGACGAUAAUUAAAGAGGACCACUGGAGCAAGUCACACCACCUGGUACCUCCUAACCUCCCCCUUGCCUUUUCUGCAUUUCAGAUCCUUUCUUAAAAAACCCCUGCGUUCCCCCCAUGAAUUGAAGAGUGGAAUUGUUUGCUGCUCUUCCCCUGCUAGCAUGGCAGCUAGCAGAUUUUCCUUUAUUAUCCAUUCUUUCUACAAGCAGAGAGCAGCCAGAUCCUUUUGCAGGUUACAGGCUGACACAUCCAGUUUCUUCGAAAAAAACAUUUAAUAAGGACUUAUAAACAGAAGCUACGUUUGUGUCUCCAUGAUUCACCCCCAGGACCAGGGCUUAUAGACCACAGGGGAAGGGUGAUUCAGAAAAGAUGUGUAGGACAGUUGAAGUAUGAUAACAUCAAGGUUGUUUGACCUAAGGGCCGGAUUUACAGUAAGUGUUUGCACUUACACAAGGAGCAAUUGAUAAAUUGGGAAUCUCAGAGGUCUUCUGGGAGGCUCCAAAGCCAACACGGCCAAAACUGUGGAUUAGCAUCCAACAUGGAGUUGCUUUAGCCUCCAUAAGGACUUCUCCCAGUCUCUUCUGGGUUUCCCUUGCUUGCUUGAAAUCUGAUAUUCAGACCAAUUUUUGUGUUGGGUAAUAGCACUACUGGAGUGCUGGGUAACACCUCAGCACAUCCUCAGUCUCUCGCACCUCUGUGUCACUUGGCUCAUCUGAGGCCAUCUCCAGGUGAACCAAAUAUGUGAGGAUAUGAGAGACAGACUGUCCAUCACUUUUUCUUGGAGGCUGACACCUGCUUCAAAGUGUGUGUGUGUGUGUGUGUGUGUGUGUGUGUGUGUGUGUGCACUUGCAGUCAUAUAUGAUUUGCAGUGGCCAGUCUGUGGAUUUGGAUUUCAUUGUGGUGUGGAGAACGUUGUCUGUUUGCCAAGUGCAUAUGUGUGUUUGGGACUGUGUGUGCAUCCCUCAAGCCCUGCCCUUGUUCUCAGACAAACCAAAGAAGAGGGGCUCAGGACAUUUCUGGCCAGCAAGGCCCCACUCCAGGCCUGCUGCCCCACCCACCCGGCCAUACCCCGCCCUGCCUGUAUUGUAGUUUGUACCUUCAUUUGUUCCUGAGCUCUUGUCCUGUGUUCAAGAAGAAUGAGAAUUCGCUGACAGUUGAAGGGUGAGGAUGGGCAGAGAAUAAUUUUAUUGAGUGAUGGACCAGCUCUCAGCAGAGAGGGGAUGGGGAGGGGGGUGGUUCCCCGCUCCCACAGUUGGGUGUUUUUUUUUCUCAGUGUGGCUGGAUCCAGGGCUUUUUCUGGACUCAGAAUAGGGAGUGCAUGCCGAUUGGUUUGUGAGUAUGCAAAAAAGGUUAAAGUGAAAAUACCACUCAAAGGUGGGUACGACAGUGUAGAAAACCAAUUAGGAAAGGGUAGGUGUAUGUAAAGUAGGUGAAGGGUGGGGAUCAAUCAGAGGAAAGCGUGCCAAAUGGGAAGACAGGUUCUCAAUCUGGUCUGAAGAUUUAACUUGCAGCUUGGCUUUCAGGUUUUAAGUUGUCUUCAACUUGGAGGUGGGGUUUCACCAGGGACCCGCCCUAUCUGCCUAGGCAUUUGACUGCCUCCUGUAACUAUCACCUGCUCCUGGGAGGUUUCCCUGGCAGUGCCCAAUGCCCACAUGGAGGGCCUUAUUUACUGCAGCUUUUGAGAAAGGGCCCCUAACUUAGGUGUGUGACACCAGCACUGUGCGUGGUCUAGGAGUUAGUGAGGCAUUAUCCCCAUGGUUUGUGGAGAUAUAAACCCUAUUUCAAUAUUUUCAGAGCGGAAAUCUCUCUGCCCAGUGGCCUGGACUGAAAGUGUGCCAGGUUGGCUGGGGGUGGGAGUUGGGAGAUCCCAUCCUGUAUCUAAGAGUCUACAUUGGGACUAGAAAGACCUCACUCUUGACGAUAGUCAGCGAAGGCAGGGGUGCCUCAGCUACAUGGAUGGGGGAGAGUGAUAUCUGCAGGCCUACCAGGACACAUCAUCAGCCUGGGCCACCCUCAGGAGACAGCUCUUGUUGCCACACCCCCAGAUGAGUGGAGAGGGCAAGCCCCAGGCUUUUUUAAUGUGUGAAGAUUUUUUUUAUACUCUCUGUUGCUCAAGUGAGGAAUUAAGAUGGUAAAUUGCUCAGGAGUACCCUGUCAUGACCCAAGGGGUGUAGCUGCCUUCUGAAACAACUACUUAGUUACCCCGACCUUUUAAAAGAGAAAGACACUGUGAUGUUUCUUCCAGAACUUUUUUUUUUUUUUUUUGAGACAGAGUCUUGCUCUGUCACCCAGGCUGGAGUGCAGUGGCCCGAUCUUGGCUCACUGCAAGCUCUGCCUUCCGGGUUCAUGCCAUUCUGCUGCCUCACCUCCCGAGUAGCUGGGACUACAGGCAUCCGCCACCACGCCCGGCUAAUUUUUUGUAUUUUUUUAGUAGAGACGGGGUUUUACCGUGUUAGCCAGGAUGGUCUCAAUCUCCUGACCUCGUGAUAUGGCCGCAUCGGCCUCCCAAAGUGCUGGGAUUACAGGGGUGAGCCACCGCGCCCGGCAAUUUUUUUUUUUUUUUUUUUUUUUUAAGACAGCGUCUCUCUCUGUUGCCCAGGCUGGAGUGCAGCGGCACAAUCUCGGCUCACUGCAACCUCCAUCUCUCAGGUUCAAGUGAUUCUCAUGUCUUAGCCUUCCAAGUAGCUGGGAUUACAGGCACCCACCACCACGCCUGGCGAAAUUUUUGUAUUUUUAGGUAGAUACGGGGUUUCACCAUGUUGGCCAGGCUGGUCUCAAACUCCUGACUUCAAGUGAUCCAUCUGCCUCAGCCUCCCAAAGUGCUGGGAUUACAGGCGUGAGCCAACGCACCUGGCCAGUUCCUGACCUUGUCUUUACUUUUAUUUUUUGUUGACGUAUAAGAGUCUUACGCGUUACCAUUUUGAAGGAGGAUCAAAAUUUUUAAUUCGUUCAUAUGACAAUAUUUACUGCACACUCGUUGUGGGCCAGAUGCUAUAAUGAUGCUAGGAAUAAAAUGGUGAUCAAAACUAAGUCCCUUUCCCCAAGAAGCAAUCUGGGCAGAGGCAGAAAGUGAACAGAGAUUUUAAUACACAGUGGUAAGUGCUCUGGGAAGGCAAGUACAGGCUGACUGGACAAAAGACAGAGGCACUAAACCACACUUGGGAUAGAAGAUAAGGAAAACUUCCUGAAGGAGGUGACAUCUAAGUUGAGACUUGAGGGAGGAAUAGGAGGUAGCUAAUGAAGAGUGGAUAGGGAGGGUAUUCCAGACAGAAGGAAGUGUUUACUUGGAGAUUAGGGAAUAUGGCAUUUUUUAAGAACCCUGGAAAGUGGGUAAACUGGCACUCUUGUUUUAAGAUGAGAAAACCACAGUGGCUAACAUAGGUUAAUACCUAGCUCAGGGCAGAGCCAGGAUUUGAAUGCAGGCUAUUCCAAUGUAUCCUGCUGCCUCAUGGAGAGCACCCAGAAUAGGAGUUACGUCAGGCAUGUGAUUACUAUACUUGAAAAGGAAGAAAAAGAAACACGGAAUCCACAUGUUUAUUUUGUUUUGUUUUCAGUGUUCUGAAAAGUCCACCCUAAAGUUCUGUGUAUUCUGGUAUUCACACCAGUAGAGAGACAUAUGAUAGGAGGCAAUCAUUAAAGGAUCUUCUCUUUUUAAAUUUUUUCUUAAUUUUUAUUUAUUUAUUUAUUUAUUGAGACAAGGUUUCACUCUGUCACCCAGGCUGGAGUGCAGUGGCUUGAUCUUGGCUCACUGCAGCCUCUACUUCCCAGGCUCAAGUGAUCCUCCCACCUCAGCCUCCUGAGUAGCUGGGACUACAGGUGCAGGCCACCAUGCCCAGGUAAUUUAUUUUAUUUUAUUUUUUUUGGUAGAGAUGACAUUUCACCAUGUUGCCCAGGCUGGUUUGGAACUCCUAGGCUCAAACGAUCCUCCUGCCUUAGCCUCCCAAAGUGCUAGGAUUACAGGCGUGAGCCACCACACCUGGCCAUAUCUUCUAUUAAUAUUUAUUGAGUUUUUAUGACCUAUCGGGCACUAUGUGAAAUACUUCACAUGUUGUGGCAGAGAAUGGCCAGAUGCUUAGUAAUACCAGUUCCUCUUCCUGGGCACAUGGGGCAACUAUAUUUCCCAGUCCCCCUUGCAGUUAAGUAGAAUAUGUGGCUGGCUUUUAAGCACUGUAAAGUUGAGUUGAUGGGUGCCACUUCCAGGCCUGGCUGCUAACUCUGUCUUUGCUAUUCUGCCAGCCAUCUGGAGGUGUCCAGUGGAGGACUCCAAGGGAAUAGAGGGAGCUUGGGCCCCUGAAUCACCUCUUGGAGGGCAGCUGUGCAGAAAAGACACCCAGUUUGCAUCAGCCUAUUGAUUGGGUGAGGAGUAAACCCUCUCAAGCCACUGAGAUUUUGUGAAGUUUUUUUCAUAGCAGCUAGUGUUAACUACCCUGAAUAAUCUGCAAACCUUAUUUCAUUUAAUCCUUAUAAACACUCAGUGAGAUAAGCAUCAUUAUCAGUGUUUUACAGAUGGGAAAAUGAGGUGAGAGACUGAGUCACUUGCCCAUGUCAUUCACUCAGUACGUAGCAGAGCUAGAAGCCUGUUCAACUGGUCUGUUUGACUCCAGAGCUCAUGCUUUUACUACCAUGUGAACAGUGCCCUUCUGAAUCUUGGAAGAAUUCUUGCAAGAGACAAAUGUCAAGUGAUUGAGAGAAAGAGAGAACGGGGUUGGAGAAAAAGACAAGGGGGAGGGCAAGAGAGGAGGAACAGCUGAGGGCUGAGAGUCUUGUAGAUGGUAGAGGGACGUGGCUAGCCCAGGGAACCAGGGAACCUGCUGCGUGAACAUCUGGCCCCUAGGGUUACCCUGGGAAAUUUUGAGGGCAGAUUUUGGGCUCUGGGUGGUUCCAUUGUCUCAUUUUCAUUUGACUUUAUCUUGGUGCUCAGGAUGAUGCUGUUAAAUGGGCAUGCCUGGGGAGUCGGAUGGGCAUCUGAGUUGGCAGGAAGUCUGUGCUUGAGUGUGCUAACAAGCGUAACUUGCAGUUUCUGUCCCUCAACUGGUGAGUAGGGAAGUUCCAGGACUUGUGAUCACUGUGUCAGAGCUGCACAUAACAAGGAGAGAGACACAGAGGGAACUGACCGUAAGAAGGAGACACAGAGAAGGAAACUGUGUGGGUAGGAAACUUGGUAGUUGUUGGGUCCAGGAGAAUUGCAGAUGCACAGUGAGGGGCUCGCCCAGCCCCAGCAACGGCCCUGGGAGAAGUCUCCAGUUGCCAAACCUAAUGAGUGUCCACAUCCCUUCACCUUCUCCCUGGCUCCCCCCUGGAGGAGCACCAAAGAGCUCAGAAGGGACAAAACCCCAUUCUCAACAUUCCUCUCGACUCUGUGUGGUGGCUCAGGCUUGAAUGGGGAGUUCCUAGAACUUUAGCUGGGUGGGUGAAAGGCAUCAGUGAAGGGUUUUAGGCAGGAGAGGGAUAUGGCAGAUUUGCAUUUUAAAUAGAAGAGGAAAUCUAGAGCAUGAAGGUGAGUAGCCAGGGUAACUCACUAGUUAGUGACAGAAUUAAAACUUUGGUCUCCAGAUCGAAGCUCAACUCUCUGGCUCUCAAACCAUAGCAGCUAAGUUUGUGGAACUGUGAAGACUGCGUGAGGUUGUCAUGCCCAUCAGUUUAGGGGGAAGGGGAAGAAGUACUGAUCUCCCAGGUGAAGGAAUGCCCAUGCUAAUUACUUUAAAUCAGCAGAGCUGGGGCUAAGAGCCUUCUCAUUCCUAUAAUCUGCCUGGGACACUGUUCUUGGUCAUUGCCUUAGGUGGGAGGAGCCUGGUUACCUCAAAACCAACAGACCUACUUCUAGCCCCAGCUUGGUCACUACCAGUCGUGCACCCUGGAACCGGUCCCUUUGGCUCUAUUAGCUGUUGGCAAGAUUGGAAUCUGGGCUGUUGUAAAGCCAGACACAAAGUGUUCUGGUAACUGAUAAUGGCUUCUCAAGUGAGAGUGAGAGGUGACAGCCUGCUGGCAGUCCUCAGAGCCCUCGCUUGCUCUCGGCACCUCCCCUGCCUGGGCUCCCACUUUGGCGGCAUUUGAGGAGCCCUUCAGCCCCCCCACUGCACUGUGGGAGCCCCUUUCUGGGUUGGCCAAGGCUGGAGCCCACUCCCUCAGCUUGCAGGGAGGUGUGGAGGGAGAGGCUCCAGCGGCAACCGGGGCUGCGUGCGGCGCUUGCGGGCCAGCUGGAGUUCCGGGUGGGCGUGGGCUUGGCGGGCCCCGCACUCGGAACAGCCAGCCAGCCCUGCUGGCCCCGGGCAAUGAGGGACUUAGCACCCGGGCCAGUGGCUGCGGAGGGUGUACUGGGUCCCCCAGCAGUGCCGGCCCACCGGCGCUGUGCUCGAUUUCUUGCCGGGCCUUAGCUGCCUUCCCGCGGGGCAGGGCUCGGGACCUGCAGCCCGCCAUGCCUGAGCCACCCACCCACUCCAUGGGCUCCUCUGAGGCCCGAGCCUCCCCGUGGAGCACCACCCCCUGCUCCAAGGCGCCCAGUCCCAUCGACCACCCAAGGGCUGAGGAAUGCGAGCGCACGGCGCAGGACUGGCAGGCAGCUCCACCUGAAGCCCCGGUGCGGGAUCCAUUAGGUGAAGCCAGCUGGGCUCCUGAGUCUGGUGGGGACGCGGAGAGUCUUUAUGUUUAGCUCAAGGUUUGUAAACACACCAAUCAGCACCCCUGUGUUUAGCUCAAGGUUUGUGAGUGCACCAAUCGACACUCUGUAUCUAGCUGCUCUGGUGGGGCCUUGGAGAACCUUUGUGUCCAUACUCUGUAUCUAACUAAUCUGAUGGGGACGUGAAGAACAUUUGUAUCUAGCUCAGGGAUUGUAAAUUUACCAAUCAGCACCCUGUCAAAACAGGCCACUUGGCUCUACCCAUCAGCAGGAUGUGGGUGGGGCCAGAUAAGAGAAUAAAAGCAGGCUGCCCGAGCCAGCGUUGGCAACCCGCUCGGGUCCCCUUCCACCCUGUGGAAGCUUUGUUCUUUCGCUCUUUGCAAUAAGUCUUGCUACUGCUGACUCUUUGGGUCCGCGCUGCUUUUAUGAGCUGUAACACCGCGAAGAUCUGCAGCUUCACUCCUGAGCCCAGUGAGACCACAAGCCCACCAGGAGGAACGAACAACUCCAGAUGCGCUGCCUUAAGAGCUGUAACACUCUCCGCAAAGCUCUGCAGCUUCACUCCUGAGCCAGCGAGACCACGAACCCAUCAGAAGGAAGAAACUCCGAACACAUCUGAGCAUCAAAAGGGACAGACUCCAGACGCGCCACCUUAAAAGCUGUAACACUCACCGCGAGGGUCCGCAGCUUCAUUCUUGAAGUCAGUGAGACCAAGAACCCACCAAUUCCGGACACAAGAGGGAGUGAGGUCUGUAGAAACAUUCAGCAAAAAGCACGCUGACUAGAGGGAUCUAGCCCCUUUCUUUCAUGGCCUGGAUGUGUUUGGCCUCACUCUGGGUUGUAUGUUGUGCUGAGGCCCACCACACCAUCUUGGGACAACUGGGCCUUUGGUUGUACUUGGGACACCUCCCUCCCCCAGAAUUAUUUUAAGAAAAUCACCUCGUCAGGAAGGCUGUGGACCUGGUCCAUGAACUUAGUCCAUUGUCAUUGCUUUGUGAACUUGGGAUGCAAGAAGUGAAGAACAGAACAUUGACAGAAAUAUCUCGUGUCAUUUCAAGACACAGUCGUGUCUUCCUUCUGCAGCCCAGAUGGCCUUGACUUCUCCAGUUUUUAAGGGUGUCAUUUCCCCUUAAUUCUAAAAUAACAACAGUUUGAACUCCCAUCCCACAAAUGCAGGAAGUCCAUCUGCUCUUGGGUUUCCAAUCCCAGAGCCAUCCUAGAGGGCUUGCACCUCACCUCUGAGCGUCUCACGGUGGUGGCCUCUGAGCUGCAGCUGUUUGUUUGAAGUACGGACACAGGCCCAGCAUCUUUGAAAAAAUGCUAUUGGAAGCUCUCAAAUAACAAAAGUACCAAAGAGAUAGUCUGUUACAACUGCUCAAAGCAGUAGUUUCAGAGCACCCACCAGUUCAGCUGCAUUUUGCAAACCCUCCUUAAGCUUCUGGCAAUGUUGGUGGCAGGGAGAGGCCAGUGAACUUCUUGCCUUUGGAAGUCUCUAGGCCUCUCUGAACACCCUCCUUGCCCAUAAAGAGAGCAGAGGCCUUCCUCUUCCUGCCCAAAGACCACCUUGUUUUGUUUUGUUUUUAACUUUUUGCCUCAAGAUGAUUCACAGCAAGAACAUCAAUAUCUUUCAAGAGAAAUUCCUAGACCUAUCCUGAAGGUACAACCUGGCUCCAAUGGCUCACAUAGGGCUAGUUGCCUUAAGCCUGCCUUGGCCUUAAAUAACCCUGCAGGUGGGCCAGCAGCCGUGUGGCCCAGAUAAUGACAAAUCAGGCCCAAUCCAGGGCCUUACCUCGGUCAUUCCUGCCCGGAAGGGAAGAGACUUGGUCUGCCUGCUCUUCCUGCGGUUGUCUGGGCUCCUGCCCUGCAGUGAACAAUGACUGGACAAAGGAUAAUGAUUUUCAGCCAUGGGACAGCCUAAAUUGAGACUUUGGGAAACAAAUUCUGUAAUUCCUCAGGGGCAUGGUUCUGCUAAGGAGAUACUCCACUGACAUUGCUAAAUGAAACCAGUAACACUUCAGUCUGAGGACUCUGUCUCGGACCCAUCACAGAUGUCUAGGAUGUCUUCCAGAACAAUGGCAGCCCGAGUGCUCAAUGGGAAGACCUAAGCCUGAGGUUCAAGCCCCAGGUCUGUCAGUUGCCAUCCGUGACUUUGGGUAAGUCAUGAAUUCCCCAGGUCUCGGAUUUCUUAGCUAAAAAACGAGGAUAAUACCACUUCUUCCAACCUGUCAGGGUUGUUGAGAGGAUGAAUGCAAGCAAACAUUUGUUAAGUACACUUGCCUAGGCAUGGUAGGAUCCAAAAAUUAGUAAGACACUGGCCUUAUCAGACUCAUGCGCUUUUAGGGUGUUUAGACUUCAAUAGGUAACUUCAUUAUGAUAUGAGAAGAAACAGCUUAGAUCUAAAGUGUUCUGUAAACUCUAAAGUGUUAUAUACUUGUGGAUAUUAGUACUGCUGUCAUUUUUCCUAUAAAUUGGGUUUCCUUUCUGUUCACUGCUGGGCCAAACAUGUCUUGAGCAGCUCACAGUGGGAAGCCUCUUCUCCCUGUCCCCCAGGCUCCAGGGGGUCUCCCUGCCCCCCAUGGAACCCUAGAAUCCUUUCAGGGGGCUCCUGUCAUCUACCUACAUGUUUCCAUUCCACCACUCUUCCCAGGACACACUGGAAGUACAGUCUUUCCUCUUUCACAUAAUUAAUGACAAAUGUAAGAAAUGGUGGGCUGGGCGUGGUGGCUCACGCCUGUAACCCCAGCACUUUGGGAGACCGAGGCAGGCAAAUCACGAGGUCAGGAGAUGGAGACCAUCCUGGCUAAUAUAGUGAAAUCCCAUCUCUACCAAAAAUACAAAAAAAAAUAAUUAGCUAGGCGUGGUGGCGUGCACCUGUAGUCUCAGCUAUUUGGGAGGCUGAGGCAGG